AAACACUGCUAGGUCCUGCAGCUGAUAUUCAAAUGUAGACUGAUGUCAGUACGUCAGAACACAGGUGAAGGAUCUAGUUGUCAUGAUUCUUCUGUUGUCUUUUGUCUGUUGUUCCCGUCUCCUGCAAGCACAAUCCACUUUUUUCUUCAGCGACUUUCAUUCAUCUGUCAGCAUUAUCAGGCCAGCCAGUAGGAGGCGCUGUCCUGUGAUCCUGGGAUCCGUCCAGCCUAAAGUACAGCCACCGCGCAGGACUGACGAGAUCCCGGGAGGUCCAGGUGGAAGUACAUCAAGCGAACCAUGAGAGCAGAUCUGCCAGUCCCGGUUCCCGAUGGAACUUGCAUCCACAGAUGAACUGAUCCAAAGCGACGUACAAAUACAGUGUACAAGACGGACAAGUUCAGGCAAUAAAACAGAUGAGAAACGAUGGGGUGGUAUGUUUGAACUCUAUUGUAAAAGGAUUGCUUCUAUGAAAUGCUACAAAAUAUCCUCUGAGGAUUUCUGGAAAUUCAUAAGAAGACACAACAUACAUACUAAGCAGGAAAGUUUACGAAACACAUGCCAGGAAAAAGGCUGCAGUCUGUUUUGUGGGGAGGAUAUUUCACACUCUGGAGUAACGAGGAAAAUCCCGGAAAGACCAAAAACAGACAGCAUCAUUACUGCCUGAUAAUUCAGAUGUUAAACAGCAAUUGUUAAUUCUCACGUUAAUGUUUUGAUCCGAAUGUUCUCGGUGGUGUUACUUUAUAUGGCAGCAGUACGUGUAGAUUUCGCGGCGAUCCUGCCGACAUUGCCGCCCGCACGCCGCGAUCUAACGUGACCUUUAUCUGGCAUUCCUGAGAUGAACAGCCAUAUCAGCCAGUCCCAAAGUUACCAAACCCGCAGCGGCACUUCACAUGAUUUACGAUGUCAUUAAUGUCAGGCUAUCAGUGGACAAGAGCAAAAGAGACAACGGCAAGGCCCGCCUAAAAACAAAUAGUUUUGAUUAAA